rnacentral:tRNA from 1 species
GCUGCGGUAGUUCAGUUGGUAGAACAUUAGUUUGUUUGUGAUGGAAUUUCCAUUCAAGGACUAAUUAUCACAUACUACUAUGGUACUAAGGGUCGCAGGUUCGAGCCCUGCUCGCAGCA